rnacentral:rRNA from 1 species
AUUAAUAAUUAUUAUUAAAUAGUGAAAGGGUUUAGAUGGUUAUUUUGGAAAAAAAAUUAAUUUUUAGUAUAAUUAAGAAAUAAUUUAAAUUUAUGAUAAGAUAUUAGUAUUGUGAAAGAUAUAUGAAUAUAAUUUUUAAAGAAAUAUUUUAUUUUGUACCUUGUGUAUCAGGGCUUAUUAAAUAUUAAUAGGAUUUUAUAAAAUUAUAGUAUUUUAUUGUUGAAUAAAUAUAUAAAAUAUUAUUUUAGUAAUGAAACGUUAUUCGUUUUUAAAUAUAUCUAGUUAUUUAAGAAAAAAAUUAAAUUUUUUUAUUAGUAGAUUUUAAUUUAAUUUUUUAAAUUAAAAUUAAUAAUAUUUUAUUUAUAAAGGGAUAAGCUUAUAUAAAAAUUUUUAAAAAUUAAUAGUUUAAGUUAAAUUUUAAGGAUUAGAAGUGUUCAUUAAUAAAAUAAUGUUAUAAUUAAUUUAAUUGAGAAAAUUAUUUAUAUUAAUUUUAAAUGUUUUAUUAAAUUAUAGUUUUUAAUUAAAAAUAUUUAGUAAUAGUGAUAAGAUUAGUAAAUUUUAAAUAUAAAUUUAUUAUAAAUAAGUUAGGUUAAUUUAAAGGAAUUCGGCAAAAGAUUUUUCACCUGUUUAUUAAAAACAUGGCCUUUUGCUUAUGAUUUAAGGUCUAGCCUGCCCACUGAUAUUUAAAGGGCCGCGGUAUACUGACCGUGCUAAGGUAGCAUAAUCAUUAGUUUUUUAAUUGAAAGCUGGAAUGAAUGGUUGAAUGAAAAAAUAACUGUCUCUAUUUAAUUUUUAUAGAACUUUAUUUUUAAGUUAAAAAGCUUAAAUAAUGUUAAAAGACGAGAAGACCCUAUAGAGUUUAAUAGAAUUUAAUUUUUAAAUUUUUAGAAUUAUAAUUUUAAUUUUUAAUUUCUAUUUGAUUGGGGCGAUUGUAAAAUUUAAUUAACUUUUAUUUUUAAUAAACAUUAAUAUAUGAAAAUUUGAUCCAUAAAUUAUGAUUAUAAGAUUAAAUUACCUUAGGGAUAACAGCGUUAUUUUUUUUGAGAGUUCAAAUCGAAAAAAAAGUUUGCGACCUCGAUGUUGGAUUAAAAUUAAUUUUUGGUGUAGAGGCUAAAAAUAUUAGGUCUGUUCGACCUUUAAAAUUUUACAUGAUCUGAGUUUAAACCGGUGUGAGCCAGGUUGGUUUCUAUCUUUAAUAAAAAUAGUAUAUUUUAGUACGAAAGGACCAAGUAUAUAAUAAAUUAUUUAUCUUUGAGUAAAAUU